AACAACUCACCUGCCGAAUGGACUAGCCCUGAAAAUGGAUGGCGCUGAAGCGGGUGGCCGAGACCACACCGUUUGACGAAUUGGCAACUCGUCGGAUGAGUAGGAGGGCGUGGCGGCCGUGGAGAAGCCGGUGGGCAAUCACUGGUGGAACGGCCGCGAGUGCAGAUCUUGGUGGUAGUAGCAAAUAUUCAAGUGAGUGAACAAACCUUGAAGGGUGAAGCGGGGAAGGGUUUUAUGUGAACAUUGAUUGGGCAUAAGUGAGUCGUUCCUAAGCUGCUGGUUUAUUCUCUCGGGAAUUUUUCUGGCGAAAGGGAAGCAGGUUGACAUUCCUGCACACGGAUGUGGAGGCGGUGACGCCGUUUGAGACAAACACGUUGGCGACAGCUCUGGGCAGAGUUAUCUUUUCUGUUUGACGUCAGGGUGCGCUGUGUGGAAUCCGCUUGUCGGGAGAAACACGCGUGCCCGGGCAGAGCGCCGGACUUUUCCGGCGUCCAGAUCGCUGUCGACAACCCUUGAAACUUUGUCUGCUGAAGUGAACAAUCCACGCCGUGACGUACCGAUAACCGCAUCAGGUCCCCAAGGUGAACAGCCUCUACUCAAUAUGAACAAU
rnacentral:rRNA from 1 species